CAAGCCUGCGCUGCCAGGACCUGCAAGAAGGAGAGGAGGAUGGCAGCAAAAAAGAAGAACCUGGAUAUAAAAAAUAUUUUUCAAAGAAACCUCUCUUCCUGAACCCAAAUUGACACUGAGCAGAUCAGAGAUCACAGAAACAGAUUCAGUCACACUGAAAUGUGAGGCUCCAUCCUCUGUUCCGAUGUCUCAAUGUUCUUUCUACUCUUCCACUGGAGCAACUGUCAAAGAAUUGCCCUGCUUAACGAACUUGACAGCAACCGAACUGCUGAAGAUGGCAAAUCUCAAAUCACCUGCUACUGUUAAACUGAACUGUUUCUACACAACACAGCCUGGAGCACCAAACUCUCCAUACAGUGACUUUUCCAGCAUCAUCAUUCAAACUCCUCUUCCACCUAUACUCAUCGUUAAUCCACCAGUGAUCACAGAGACAGACUCAGUCACGCUCAACUGUGAGACUCCCCCAUCUGUUUCUGUGCCUGAAUGUUAUUUCUACACUUCAAGUGGAGGGACAGUCAACAAGUUUUCCUGUCUAACGACACUGACAGCAACCAAACUGCUGGAGUUAACACAUCUCAGAUCACCUACUGAAAUUAAACUGAACUGUUCUUACACUGCACAGUCUGGAGAGUUAACAUCUCCAUACAGUAACAUGUCCACCAUUAAAGUAAAAAAGUAAGUAAUUUUCUAUUCUACCCCAUUAUA